rnacentral:lncRNA from 1 species
GGGGUGGCAAAACUCGAGCCAGCAGUAUCGAAAUUGUCGUACUCCAUAGCUAAGCAGUAGGCUUUCUCUAACAUAUGCUAUGUAGGUACAAUCUCAGCUUCGAACACAAGACUGUUCCUGGACAGCCAAAUCUGACUCGGACCAACACUUUCAGUGCACGAGCACAAAUCUCUCUCCAAAUGAAAAAGCAACCAUGAUCAAUUUGAAUAUAGGGCCCUCAAGUUGAAGCUCCAUAAUGAGCCC